rnacentral:lncRNA from 1 species
AACGUGUUUCUGGAGCGGAGGCGAGCUGGUAGGGGAGCCGUGAAUCUGGAGGAUGACCAUCACUCUACCAACAAGGAUUGUAAGUUUGUAUUAACCAAACAAACUGGAAAUAAAGGGCUUAAAAAUAAGACAAACUACAUGUUUGUUACCAGACUUUAGGGCCAGACUCGCUUGUUCCAGACCAGGACUCUGGCUGAGGAGAGCUGAUGGAGGAGCCAAGACUCUGGAGGACGACAUCACUCCACCAACUAGGAUCCUCGAAUCUGGAGGACUGAUGGAGGAGCCAAGACUCUGGAGGACGACAUCACUCCACCAACUAGGAUCCUCGUAAGUUUGCCUAAAAUAAACCGAGUGGACUUGUUGUAACGCAGGAUUAGUUUGU